rnacentral:rRNA from 1 species
AGAGUUUGAUCAUGGCUCAGAUUGAACGCUGGCGGCAGGCCUAACACAUGCAAGUCGAACGGUAACAUUUCUAGCUUGCUAGAAGAUGACGAGUGGCGGACGGGUGAGUAAUGCUUGGGAACUUGCCUUUGCGAGGGGGAUAACAGUUGGAAACGACUGCUAAUACCGCAUAACGUCUACGGACCAAACGGGGCUUUUAGCUCCGGCGCAAAGAGAGGCCCAAGUGAGAUUAGCUAGUUGGUAAGGUAAUGGCUUACCAAGGCAACGAUCUCUAGCUGUUCUGAGAGGAAGAUCAGCCACACUGGAACUGAGACACGGUCCAGACUCCUACGGGAGGCAGCAGUGGGGAAUAUUGCACAAUGGGGGAAACCCUGAUGCAGCCAUGCCGCGUGUGUGAAGAAGGCCUUCGGGUUGUAAAGCACUUUCAGUUGUGAGGAAAAGUUAGUAGUUAAUACCUGCUAGCCGUGACGUUAACAACAGAAGAAGCACCGGCUAACUCCGUGCCAGCAGCCGCGGUAAUACGGAGGGUGCGAGCGUUAAUCGGAAUUACUGGGCGUAAAGCGCACGCAGGCGGUUUGUUAAGCUAGAUGUGAAAGCCCCGGGCUCAACCUGGGAUAGUCAUUUAGAACUGGCAGACUAGAGUCUUGGAGAGGGGAGUGGAAUUCCAGGUGUAGCGGUGAAAUGCGUAGAUAUCUGGAGGAACAUCAGUGGCGAAGGCGACUCCCUGGCCAAAGACUGACGCUCAUGUGCGAAAGUGUGGGUAGCGAACAGGA